UAAGACAGAGGCCUCGAGCGUUAGGCGGAAUCACUGGGCUUAAAGCGUGUGUAGGCGGAUCGUUAAGUGUCUUGUGAAAUCCCACGGCUCAACCGUGGAACUGCUGGGCAUACUGGCGAUCUUGGGCCACCUAGGGGCAGUCGGAACAAACGGUGGAGCGGUGAAAUGCGUAGAUAUCGUUUGGAACGCCGAUGGUGAAAACAGACUGCUGGGGGUGUGCCGACGCUGAGACACGAAAGCCAGGGGAGCAAACGGGAUUAGAUACCCCGGUAGUCCUGGCCCUAAACGAUGUCCACUAGAUCGCAGUGCCUCUGACGGUAUUGCGGUCGAAGCAAAAGUGCUAAGUGGACCGCCUGGGAAGUACGGUCGCAAGGCUA
rnacentral:rRNA from 1 species